rnacentral:pre_miRNA from 1 species
CAUAUACUCCCUCCGUCCGGAAAUACUUGUCGAAGAAAUGCAUAAAAAUGGAUGUAUCUAGAACUAAAAUACGUCUAGAUACAUCCAUUCCUCCGACGAGUAUUUUCGGACGGAGGGAGUACUUC